AAAUAAAUUUAUUUUGUUUUAUUUUAUAAAGUUCCUUAAUUAAACGAAGAAAAGUCAUUCGAAUUUUAAAUAUUAAAUUUCAGAAAGUAAAGUUCACUAAAGGUACAGAAUACGAAACCUGUUUAAACACUACGCUAAUUUUGAACUGUCUUUUAUUGUCAGCAAUUUUUUAAUAAAAACUCAAGUCACACGAGAAUAUACAUGAAUGUAUAUGCUAUAUUUAUUACUAAUUAUCGAUACUUUGUAUUAUUAAAAAUUAGAAAAAAUCGAUAAAAGAAAUAAUUUCAUCAAAAAAAUAGAGAGGAGAAAUGGAAUGUAAAAGUAAAAUUUCAAAAAUUUCUUUGUGUGAGUUCCGGUAAAAUUCCACGAAAAUUCAUUUUCAAGCAUAAAAAAGAAAUUCUCUAAAAAUAUCAGAUUUUCCCAGUUUUACCCAUCCUACGUAAGUUAUUACGAGAUUUAUUAAAUAUCGACAAACAAGAAAUUCGAUAGAGAUAUUCAAGUGCAAUAAAUCCCUCGUACAACGUGGUGUUUAUUUUUCAAAAUGCGUGUCAGUUUUGAGCACAGCCAAAUGCGCCCGAUACGCAGAUAAGUUACGGCAUAUGGCGUCUCUCUCUCUUACCAUAAUGCCAGAUCAUCCUCUUAUGUAUGUUUUAUGCCGCGCCACUAAGCACCUGUCUCGAUUGUGCUUGCGUUGGGGCUUUCCGCAGAGCGCGAGGGGUUAUAUCUCGCGCCGCGGCAUGCCGUGGCACGUUCGUGACCGAUGAUAUAUACAUAAUGACGUUCGACGACGUGUCAAACGGCGCGUGGACGAUAGCUUCGGAGCGGACGUAAAGCCGUUUCGGGGAGUCGAGCUGGCGUGAAUAGCGACAGCCGACACGCAUGCAUACAGCAGAGCGGGAUAAUUUGUACGGGGCUCACGCAAGAGGUUUUGGGUGACCCGUGAGGGAGGGAGGGGAAAGAAGGGGUAAACUUCCGCGUGUCAUCGCUUCUAAUUCUGCUAAAUCGGCCUUUCCGUAAAUUCGCUUCCUAUAUCUGUAACGCUAACGUAAAUUGGGCGGGAUGAAGCGGUAAAAGGGUCCUAAAGGAAACAAAAGUUACGAUACGGCGAAGGGACGUAUCAAUGUUUGUAUUAUCAUGUUACAACCCUUAGGCAUCGUUUUUUUUCUGUGCCUUACGAAUAAUAUUGAUACAUGUUAACAUAUUAGCGCUAUUUAUCUUCUUGAUGUGACAGGAUGACAAUCGAAAAAUUGCUGAAACUAAACUGCUUUGUCAUGUAAUAAAAAAAAAAAAAAUGCACAGAAUGAAGUGAAUUAAACAUUUUCUGCGCAAGAAAUCCGUCAUUUUUAUCAGCAUACAAAAAAUGUACGUUCGUGAAUUGGUAAAAAUAAACAUGGUAAAAAAAGUUGCAAAUUUUGCUGGUUGCAUGACGCAGUAAUAUGUUCAAAAAAUCUUGGUCAUUUACAUGAAAUAAAUUCGCCUGAACAAUUUUUAACCUUAAGAAGUCUAAUAGUUUUCAAAAUCUUUUAUCGUUCGUUUUUAAUCGUUUGGUUUUAAUUUCAAAAAAUAUAUAUCAUUAAAUCGUACAAUUACCGUCAAGUUGUUGGUGUACUCUUAACACAUUUAUUUUUACAAGUUAUUUUCACACACAUAUAUACAUUUCUUUUACAUUAAUAAAAAUGUUGUUCCUUCGAUAAGUUUAAACUGUUCAAACUGUUUAAGAAGGCAUAAUAUAUCUACGACACUAACUUUGUACAAUUUUUUGCAAAUAAAUGGUAAGAGAUGGAUUAAAAAAAUCUUUCAUUUCUUUUUAUAUAAUUUUUAAGUGAUAACUAGAUAGAUGUAGAUUUUACUGACGCUUAUGGCUGACUAUUUUUCAUAGAGGUCAAUUCAACGGAAAUAAAAUUUCAUUUAUAAUGCAUAAAAGAUAUAACAUAAUAAAUUUUAUAAGAAAAACUUUAUCAAUUUUACGCUAUAACAAUUUUGCACGAUGAUUUAAACUAUAUGGUCCGUAUUCAAAACUUCUAUCCUUGUUUUACGUGUAAUAAUAAAAAGUAAAAAGUAAAUGACAAAAAAGCGCGCUUUAUACACACAUCUUUAUAAGCAUGUUCUGCAUACGAGCCUAUGCCUCUAAACUUGUCAUUUGUGAUCAGUAACGUUCGAGCAAGAAACAACGAGCUGAUAUAUCUCCGGUCAAUAAUGUCUUAAUAAACAAAAAAGGCACAAAUAAACUUUUUGAUCUACCUAAAAUUUUCAAACGUCUUUUUAUAAAUCGAUCUUUUUAUAAAAUUAGAUAAGAGCAAAAUUGUGUUAUUUUAUAUUUUACCGCGUUUCGUAAAUAUUUGAUGUAUGGUACAUGUGAAAAUGUAAUGAAUCAAAUAUUCACGAUAUAAAUUAUAUUAAUUUAGAGAAAAAUAAACAAAGAUCCAACGAACCCACGGUGAAGGCAAGAGGUCAACGUGUCGUUGGUCGCUAGAACUGAUAAUUUAUUCCGGCCGACUCACUGAUAUUUAUAUAUAUAAAAAGUUGGGUCGAUGUCGAUCGAUGUUAUCGCAAGUUCUUUCGGAGUGAAGAGCUCAACCAGGAUAUAUCUGAAGCUAUUAAUUACAGGAAUGUCAGCAGCAGGAGGGUCAAGUUGUCUCGAGAUAGGUCAGACGCGGAAGAUCCGCGCAAAUGCCGCACGCGCGCGCGCACACACACAGACACAUACACAGACCGACCGCCGUGGUUUAAUCUUUUUAUCUUUAGCACAGCCCCCGCGCUAUUUAUAAUCCAUAGGUACUUCUGGGAAUUGGUCCGGGCAGGCACCUGUGUUUCGAGGUGUGACACGUGAAGUCUUAGAAAAAGGCCGCGCGCGCGGCAGGGCGUUUCAUCUAACGUGCCAUCUGUAUUACUCGACGUCGUACUUUCUUCCUUCCGUGAAACACGGUGGAUGCAAUACCCCGGGCGUCCGAACGCGGACGUGACAGACGACAGAUUGGCCGGGAUACUUACGUCGAUAAGGGAGGACGGUAUACUCGCUCCUCCCCGCGCGGCCUCUCCACGAGAGCGCAAAACCGUCGCGCGUUAUAUGUACCACCGCUGGAUGAGAGAAAACGGGGAGGCGAAAAAAUUGCCCUUCGAAGCAAGGACGCGUAUAUUUCCUUGUUUCCCCGCUAUAAUGUCACAGAGCCCGUCAUGCACGUAAUGACAUGUCAUUUUGUAAACUGACUGAAUGGCAGUUUAUCGGGCGUUAUCGUGGUAGUCACACGCGAAACUUCUGCCGUGCAAUCAAUGUACUCGUGCAAUAUAUGUAGUACCUACGCCCGCGCUGCCCCUCGCCCUUUGCAUGUAAGUAGACGAGUUUAUUUCUCCGCCGAGCGUCUUUCGGAUGUACAUACAUCUUGAUGUAUCUGGCUAACGAUGCUUCUUACGCGUUACGAACUUUUGCACGUACACCAUCAUUGAGAAAUGAGAGAAAAUUGUCAGCCCGCCCGCGCGCUACGUGGGAAAGCCCCGCGGUACCGGGCUAGAAAAUACAACGGCCAACGUUAAUCAAUUACGUCGUAACGUUAAUAAAUCCCAGGCAACAUGAUUAUAACAACAACGAGCGUUUUGAGGGAAACCCACGAGAAAAUCCAUUAUAAAAAUCUCCCCUUAGCCAUUCAAGACGCCGCGCCGCGCCGCGCCGGCCGCCAUGGCCAUUAAUUACAGACGUCCUAUUAACACGUAUUUCAGCCGCCCACAAGCACCGGCGAUGGCCGCAAUAUCUCGCUUUUUGUGUCGCGCCAUCGUCAUUCGCGCCCGGUUCUGGGCUCGCGGGAACGUGUCCCUCGAAUUUCCUGCAGCGCAACGCAGAAGGGAACUCCGGGACUAUUUAGAACUGGUACGACUCGCGCGCUCGAGAAUGAGGGCCCCGGCAUAAAAGCUUCGGUCAUAAUGAGUCUUUCCGCCCGCCUCCGGGUGCUUUCGCCUCGCCGUAAAAAGAAGGAGGGAGAAUAAGAGAGAAAAAGGAAGAAAGACGCGCUUCCGCCCGACGAUUUCCGUGCGCAUAAGCCUCGAAAGUAAGCCGCGUCGACGUGGAAACACACGGUAAAGUGUGUGCCGGCGCGGCGGUCGGGGAGAGAAUAGUCGAGAAUAGCGAGAGAAACGCGAACACGAGGCUGGCUCAACUUAUUCGUCACUUUCGUAGGGGGUUCCAGGGGUAACAACCGUCGCGGAGUUUCUCCAUUGUGCACCGCAACGACGACGGCCGGGGGAAUUGCCGCUGCUGCAGCUGUUGUGACCUCGUGUCGACUACGCGUCGCGCACCACGGUGUCAACGGAGCGCUCGAUUAUAACGCGCCCCGCGAGUCGGAUCCCUAUUUAUUUUUAAUCGAGGCGGGAGCAAGCGUGAGAGAGCGCGCGCCGCUCUUGUGAUUAACGCGUUCCAGAUUCCCGUCGAUCAUCGGAGGAGUCGCGCUCGAUAGUUGUGUGGUGUGCGGCGUGCGCCCGAUCGAAACGCAGAGUGGAAUGGGUCAACGUGAUGUCUUCCAGGACAGGCGAAAACGGUUACGUAUAUAAUCACGGAAAUCAAACAUGAAGUCCCGCUGCGAAGACGUUCGGUUUGCUCCUAUUAGCAAGGUAAACGUCAGAACCAAUUGAGAUCGUGAGAUGAAAACAGGUCGAACUCAUUAUGAACUUUUGCGAUAUAAUUGGUGAUUUUUUAAAAAUAAUUUAUCUUAUUUUAAGCAACAUUUAUAUUUUUUGAAAAAUAUUUUGUACAAAGUUAUACAUAUUUUGCAUUAAUGUAGCAAUUAUUUUCUGAAUGUUGUAUAAUUAGACAAAUUUCUCCCAGAUAUUCUCCAUCUCCUGUUAAGUAAAUCCAACUAUUCAGAAAUAAUAUACAACUAAAUCGUGUAUAAAUUUUGCUUGAAACGUAAUGAAACGUUAAAAAUCUCCGGAAAAAUGCAUAUCCUAUUCCGAAAUAGUCAAGUAAUUUCACACUUCUUAAUUGUUAAUCGUUAAUAAAACAAUUAUUUGUCAAAGUACAUUUACUUUUAUAUUCUUUUUUAAUAAAACACAUUAAAGCAAUAAAGUUGAAAAUUUUGCACUCAAUUUUCUCAUUUAUCAGUUUCACAAGUGAUAAAAAUAAAUGUGCUUUUUCUAGCUUCGACAUAAAUAAGACAGUCCCGGACAUCAAUGAUUAAUAAAAACGAUAUUGAAUUUAAUAUGACAUCGCAUCAUUUUUCAAUAAAAAUUUCAGGUUUUUCAGUAAUAACAUACAUAUCUAUACCGUAAAAAAAGCGAUUAAUAUAAACGUUAUUGCAAUCAAUGUCUCCCUUCGCGUUUAUUUUUUUUAUUUUUUAAAAUAAUCGACAUUCUUACUCUUUUCACUCGAAUUUUAACGAGAUUCAUACGAUCGUUACUUUCCUUGCAUGAUAAAUUCGAAUUAGUUUGUUCUCGAUAAAAUUGUUCGAGCGGCUUUUGAAGAGUAAUACGUCCCAUCAACAGACCUGAUCGCUUAUUGAACGUUCGACUCGGGCGAGACACGAACGAUGAUCGAUAGAACAUCACGUUACACGUUAUUAAAAUACUUUAGCGAUGGCUGUACAAGCGAUUUAUCUUAGCCAUCGCUUUUCAGUGAGGGGGAGAGAGGGGAAGAAACACGGGAUAAAAAACGUCUCCAGCUCUUCUCUCUCGUCACUUGUGCGCGAAAGUCACCAGUAUAUUGUACGGAUCAUUGGUAUAUAGGGCGCGUGUCGAUCGUUACAAAGUCCGCCGGUACUCGCAGGACGUACCAAUGACGAGUUAGCGGGAAAGAGGAUUGGACUUCCUGCAGUUGGUCGAGGCGAUUCGAAGGUGAAACGAGCAGCGAAACAUUUUCAUUUCCCCGCAGGGUUCAGGACGACGACGCGCCGACGUUCUGGACUCCACCACUCUCUUGUUAGCCCAGUUAAAUCCGAGUAAGUCGAGGGGCCUGUGAAGUCGUGAAGCGCACCGUUAGAACUGGCGAGUAUAACGAGGGAUUGUGGUAUAUUUACGAGAUGACACACCGUCGCACCGUCACGCAUGGAAUCCUCGUCAGCCUCCGACUUUUCAGGCUACAGGAAACGUCCGUGGGACGAAGAAGCUAUCCGCUUUAAACUUUUGACCGGUCAGUGUUGUACGUAUACAUAUAUCGAGUGUGUAGCGGAUGUAGCAAUAUUUAAAGCACGGUUGUUUAUCGCGACGUGUAAUUGUGACAGCUACUUUUCUCGAAUGCCUGAGUUGCCUCGAGAACAAUGUAUUUUUGUUACCCGGACGACAAUGUGCAUGUACUUUAGUCCGUCCCGGCUAUAAAUAGACGACCCGUUUCGUUCGAGUUUAAAAAAAAGUGCAAACUCGAGUAAACCCAAGAUAGAGGUUAAUAGAAUAUACCAAUUAAUUAAUUAUAUUUUUUAUUGCAAGAAUUUAAUGAGAAAAAAAGAAAUGAAUGAAAAAGAUGAAAGAGUUAGAUAAUGUAUUGCAUAUUCUUAAAAUAAUAUCUCCAAGUUGAAUUUUUUUCAAAUAAAAGCUACUAUGUGUUUAAAGUUAAUUAUUACUUCAGUAAGAUUGCGAUUUCUCUCGCAAUAUUAUUCUCAAAAUUGAGUGAACGUUCCAUUGAAAUAUAUACAUGCUUUGUAAUGCAAACUUGCGCCACGCAAUGGAAACCUUAAUUUCGUUCGUUAAAGCUGUAAAAACUCAUUGAUCAUGUAUAUGUGUGUGUGUGUGUGUGUGAGCGCGUGCGCGCGCGCGUGUUGUGCCAUUAUAGUCACAUCAAAUGUAAAUAGCACAUAUCCCAUUCAUCAUGUCAGUGCUGCGCUUUAACAAAUGGAUAUAUUAAGCAGAAUGGUUAUUUGACUCGCCAAUUUUCUCCGGAUUAAAAUAUAUGUAUGUGUCGAAAAAUGUAAAAAAAUAUUCGCAUAUUGACUUCGCAAAAUUGUUCACUGAAAAUAUCCUGGAACGAAAAGCAUGACGUUUAAAUAUUAUGCGACACGUACAUACAUACGUACAAUAAAUUUGUGUAAUAAUUAAGAGAUGUACGGCGACGAGAAAUAUUACGGUAUAUUCAUAUAAAAGUCUAUUAUGACAAUCCUUGUAUUCUUUUACCUAUUACGAAAGUCGCAAUUUCCUUUAACCAUCGAGAGCGAUGGUAAAUGGUUUCUCUCUGUGAGAGGAAAGCUAUUUGUUCGCCGGUCGGAAAAUACCAAUACCGAUGACCCGGCACGUGAUCUACCACGGGAAGGAGGGGCUUUCUCGCGAAAGACGAGUAGGAUUUCUUUUCACGUAUAUAAAAUAAUUUCUAUUUGUGAGCGCGCGCGCGCGCGCGCCUUCGUAUACGAAGGGACGCGGAUAUUAUGUGACAUACAUUUCUUAUGGAGCGAUGGCGAGAGAGACUCCGUAUGAAAAGAGUCCCUUCGAGAAUGCGCACGGCGGCGAUCCUAUCACGACUGUUCACGGCGCGGCCAGCGGCGGCGACGUUCGGUCCAGUAUAGACGGAUGAGACGAAAAUUCGAUUUGAGCCGUCGUCAGCCUGUAUCACAUAUCCGCGGAAAUGUUCGUUUUUUACUUGAAAUAAAUUUCGCCGACGUGAAGACGAGCGGCGAGUGCAGAAUACAUGGGUAUCUCUGAGCAACACGCGUCGUCCCGCGGGAGAACGUGGUUUCUACGCGAGGGUGCACGUGGCACUCCCUAUGCCCUACGGUCCCUAUGGCAUCGUCGAGCUUCCCCUUUCUUUAAAUCCUGGGAGACUUUAAAGAUUGCAAGUUAUAACCGUGCGGACGAGAGAAACCCUAGAAAAUUGCAUUCCCAUGACUGGAACGUUUCGUCGCUAUGUAUCAUUCCUACCCCAUCUCGACUGGACCUGGAAGAUUCCAUUUUUACCCCUAUCUAACAUCCAUUCUAGCAGGAUAUUCAAGAUUGAAAAGAGCAUAGUUAUCAUUGAAUAGUUAAAAAUGAAAAUCAUCAAUUCUUCUAAAAGAAUUUGUCAGUUUUUAUUUAUUUACACGCACAAUUUAUAUAUAUUCCUGCACUGCUUACAAGUUUUAAUAAAUAGCAAUAUUUGUAAAAUAAACGGAUAAAAGCAGAAAAUUUGUUUAUUUUUACAUUUUCAAAUAAUAUUCUCUGUAUAUUUUCAAAAAAUAAAACAUAAAAUUUUUGAAUAAUGUCUUCAGAUUUAUCAUCAUUUCCUAGUAUGAACACAUAAUUAUAUUUAUUUAACUAUUACUUGUUUUUGUAAACUGACUCGUUUACUGGUGUCUAUUUUUAAUUUCUUAAUUUUUUCUUUAAUUCUUUUGCAUAGAAACUAAAUUAAAAUAUGUCAACCCUUCUUUGGUUCAAAAAGAACCAAAAUUCAAAUAUGUGCACUUAGCAAACAAUUUAUUUAACAUUAUCAAAGCAGCAUUUAUUGAAACUUAGCAAUACUCCAUAUACAUAUAUAAUAUAUACUAUUAAUAUAUACUGCAUACAUUAUGUUUUAUAAUAAUAUUAUGGUAAAUAUGAUAAUAUUAAUGCAUUAUUCGUGCAAAGUCAUACAAUAUUUAACACAAAAUGUUAAUUAUUCUUGAAGUAUUAACUUGAGAGUAGUCUUGGGGUAGUUUUUAUACUCCAAUCGAAAAAAUAAAGCUCACAUCACAGUAAAUUUUUUACUGAUCCAAAAUAUAUACCUUUCAUUUGAAAAUGCCGAGACCCAA